CCGACACAGGUGGUCAGGUAGAGAAUACCAAGGCGCUUGAGAGAACUCGGGUGAAGGAACUAGGCAAAAUGGUGCCGUAACUUCGGGAGAAGGCACGCUGAUAUGUAGGUGAAGUCCCUCGCGGAUGGAGCUGAAAUCAGUCGAAGAUACCAGCUGGCUGCAACUGUUUAUUAAAAACACAGCACUGUGCAAACACGAAAGUGGACGUAUACGGUGUGACGCCUGCCCGGUGCCGGAAGGUUAAUUGAUGGGGUCAGCGCAAGCGAAGCUCUUGAUCGAAGCCCCGGUAAACGGCGGCCGUAACUAUAACGGUCCUAAGGUAGCGAAAUUCCUUGUCGGGUAAGUUCCGACCUGCACGAAUGGCGUAAUGAUGGCCAGGCUGUCUCCACCCGAGACUCAGUGAAAUUGAACUCGCUGUGAAGAUGCAGUGUACCCGCGGCAAGACGGAAAGACCCCGUGAACCUUUACUAUAGCUUGACACUGAACAUUGAGCCUUGAUGUGUAGGAUAGGUGGGAGGCUUUGAAGUGUGGACGCCAGUCUGCAUGGAGCCGACCUUGAAAUACCACCCUUUAAUGUUUGAUGUUCUAACGUGGACCCGUGAUCCGGGUUGCGGACAGUGUCUGGUGGGUAGUUUGACUGGGGCGGUCUCCUCCUAAAGAGUAACGGAGGAGCACGAAGGUUGGCUAAUCCUGGUCGGACAUCAGGAGGUUAGUGCAAUGGCAUAAGCCAGCUUGACUGCGAGCGUGACGGCGCGAGCAGGUGCGAAAGCAGGUCAUAGUGAUCCGGUGGUUCUGAAUGGAAGGGCCAUCGCUCAACGGAUAAAAGGUACUCCGGGGAUAACAGGCUGAUACCGCCCAAGAGUUCAUAUCGACGGCGGUGUUUGGCACCUCGAUGUCGGCUCAUCACAUCCUGGGGCUGAAGUAGGUCCCAAGGGUAUGGCUGUUCGCCAUUUAAAGUGGUACGCGAGCUGGGUUUAGAACGUCGUGAGACAGUUCGGUCCCUAUCUGCCGUGGGCGCUGGAGAACUGAGGGGGGCUGCUCCUAGUACGAGAGGACCGGAGUGGACGCAUCACUGGUGUUCGGGUUGUCAUGCCAAUGGCACUGCCCGGUAGCUAAAUGCGGAAGAGAUAAGUGCUGAAAGCAUCUAAGCACGAAACUUGCCCCGAGAUGAGUUCUCCCUGACCCUUUAAGGGUCCUGAAGGAACGUUGAAGACGACGACGUUGAUAGGCCGGGUGUGUAAGCGCAGCGAUGCGUUGAGCUAACCGGUACUAAUGAACCGUGAGGCUUAACCUU
rnacentral:rRNA from 1 species